GAGACUGGAUCCAAUUCAGCCUCACCCCUCCCUUACUUUCUCCCUUGCUACAUCCCCAUCUCAUUUAAGUGAGGGCCAAGCUGGGGUGGAGCUGAGUUGUCUCUCCAGUUGGUGGAGUGGAGAGACGCUUCUGAGAACCGGAGGAUCUUCACCCAGGAGGAGGUUCCACAUUACCCCGCAGCAACUCAAGGAGAAGGUGAUUUGACACUUCUAAAUGGAUUGGAACUCAGCUCCGAUGGCCUGCCUUCUGUUGUUUGGUUUCUUGGCAGUUUUGGUGUCAUCCCGACAUCAUCCAAAUGAAUUCAGGGCUCACAACCAGCCCAAGCUAUCUCUCUUGGAUCGCUUGGGCUUGCCUGAGCCUUCCUCAGAGGACAAUGUGAAGGGACUCUCCUCCUGGACAGCUGUGGGUACAGGGACAUCCACACCCCCACAAUUAAUAUCUGGACUCUCCUCUAAAUCAAGAGUUCAAAGACCAGAUACUAUGGGGGUUUUAGCUAGUCUGAGCUCCGAAUCUGGCCAACUCUCUCCAGCUGUGCCUCUGGUCUGGUCCUCUAGCUCAGACCACCCUUCCCUCUUCAGGUCCCCUGGAACCUCCAGUUCAGCCACCUCAGAAUCGGCCCCAUCUGGAGUAGUGGAGCUUGCUGUCACCAAAAUGGCACCCAAAUCUAGAACCUCAUCCAUUGCCGUUGCCUCUGCGUCUGGGCCUGUGGCACAGAUAUCCACAAUUAAAUCUUCUUCACCCUCAUCUCUUGAGUCAAGGCAGUCAGCUGAUGGUUUCAUGUCCAAUGAGACCUCCAGGACUGAAAGAUAUGCCAACCCUGUGACAUUCUUGGCUGACCUUGAUUCGUAUAGGUCUAAGGCUAACACAUCUAUAGCCCUAGGGGAGCCCACCACCUCUGAAUCUAACAUAUCUGGAUUGACCAGACAACCAGUUGGAACCUCACCUGCACUUACCAUCAUAGCUGCUUCUCCUGCUGAGACCAAAGAUCCCACACCAGCUCAGGCAGCCACCACACAGCAAAGGCAGCCUCCAAUGGAAGGACCAGUGAUGGUAUGGUCUCCCCCUACUCUGAGUUCUGA